rnacentral:rRNA from 1 species
UACGUAGGAUCCGAGCGUUGUCCGGAAUUCCUGGGUGUAAAGGGCGUGUAGGUGGGUCUCUAAGUCGGUGGUGAAAUCCUGCAGCUUAACUGUAGAAUUGCCCUCGAUACUGGAGAUCUUGAGUGCGGUAGAGGGAGAUGGAAUUCAUGGUGUAGCGGUGAAAUGUGUAGAUAUCAUGAAGAACACCAGUCGCGAAGGCGGUCUCCUGGUCCGCUACUGACACUGAGGCGCGAAAGCGUGGGGAGCAAACAGG